AUGAAAUUGUCCCUCACCUUGUGGGGAGGGGUCUCCCUCCUUCAAUAUGCUAACGACACAAUAAUAAUGGUCGAGGUCUCCGACACUGAUAUUGUCAACCUGAAGUUCCUCCUCCUAUGCUUCCAGCAGAUGUCCGGGCUCACGAUCAACUUCGAUAAGAGCGAAGUGAUGAUCCUUGGCUAUCCUCCGGAUGAGGCUCGGGCUAUUGCGGAUUGGUUGAACUGUUGCUUGGGUACCUUCCCCAUGACCUACUUGGGGAUACCCAUUAGUGACUCUAGGCUCACCGUGGCUGACCUCCGCCCGACUAUGACCCGGAUGCAUCACCGGGUUGAGCCCUGGAAGGGUAGGUGGCUCUCGAAGGCGGCCCGGGUUAUUCUCAUCAACUCCUCGCUUUCUAGUCUCCUUUGGUUUCUCAUGAGUUUCUAUAGCCUCCAUGAGACGCUUCAUCAGGAGAUCGCCAAGUACCAAUCCAGGUUUUUCUGGCCAGGCGAGGGUGACAAGCAGAAAUACCAUAUGGUGAGCUGGCCCGGAAUCUGCAAGCCUGAUGUCUACUACACAACCUUCUUCUUGUAG
rnacentral:rRNA from 1 species